rnacentral:rRNA from 1 species
CAGCUACACAUGCAGUCGAGCGGUAGCACAGAGAGCUUGCUCUCGGGUGACGAGCGGCGGACGGGUGAGUAAUGUCUGGGAAACUGCCUGAUGGAGGGGGAUAACUACUGGAAACGGUAGCUAAUACCGCAUAACGUCGCAAGACCAAAGUGGGGGACCUUCGGGCCUCAUGCCAUCAGAUGUGCCCAGAUGGGAUUAGCUAGUAGGUGGGGUAACGGCUCACCUAGGCGACGAUCCCUAGCUGGUCUGAGAGGAUGACCAGCCACACUGGAACUGAGACACGGUCCAGACUCCUACGGGAGGCAGCAGUGGGGAAUAUUGCACAAUGGGCGCAAGCCUGAUGCAGCCAUGCCGCGUGUGUGAAGAAGGCCUUCGGGUUGUAAAGCACUUUCAGCGGGGAGGAAGGCGUUAAGGUUAAUAACCUUGUCGAUUGACGUUACCCGCAGAAGAAGCACCGGCUAACUCCGUGCCAGCAGCCGCGGUAAUACGGAGGGUGCAAGCGUUAAUCGGAAUUACUGGGCGUAAAGCGCACGCAGGCGGUCUGUCAAGUCGGAUGUGAAAUCCCCGGGCUCAACCUGGGAACUGCAUUCGAAACUGGCAGGCUAGAGUCUUGUAGAGGGGGGUAGAAUUCCAGGUGUAGCGGUGAAAUGCGUAGAGAUCUGGAGGAAUACCGGUGGCGAAGGCGGCCCCCUGGACAAAGACUGACGCUCAGGUGCGAAAGCGUGGGGAGCAAACAGGAUUAGAUACCCUGGUAGUCCACGCCGUAAACGAUGUCGAUUUGGAGGUUGUGCCCUUGAGGCGUGGCUUCCGGAGCUAACGCGUUAAAUCGACCGCCUGGGGAGUACGGCCGCAAGGUUAAAACUCAAAUGAAUUGACGGGGGCCCGCACAAGCGGUGGAGCAUGUGGUUUAAUUCGAUGCAACGCGAAGAACCUUACCUGGUCUUGACAUCCACAGAACUUUCCAGAGAUGGAUUGGUGCCUUCGGGAACUGUGAGACAGGUGCUGCAUGGCUGUCGUCAGCUCGUGUUGUGAAAUGUUGGGUUAAGUCCCGCAACGAGCGCAACCCUUAUCCUUUGUUGCCAGCGGUCCGGCCGGGAACUCAAAGGAGACUGCCAGUGAUAAACUGGAGGAAGGUGGGGAUGACGUCAAGUCAUCAUGGCCCUUACGACCAGGGCUACACACGUGCUACAAUGGCAUAUACAAAGAGAAGCGACCUCGCGAGAGCAAGCGGACCUCAUAAAGUAUGUCGUAGUCCGGAUUGGAGUCUGCAACUCGACUCCAUGAAGUCGGAAUCGCUAGUAAUCGUAGAUCAGAAUGCUACGGUGAAUACGUUCCCGGGCCUUGUACACACCGCCCGUCACACCAUGGGAGUGGGUUGCAAAAGAAGUAGGUAGCUUAACCUUCGGGAGGGCGCUACCA